GCUCCUCCCUCUGAAAGCAGACUGAGAUUGGCCGCUGCCGAAAGAAGCUCGCUGUCGCACGACGAUGACAUCUCAACCUCCGCCCAAUCAAAGGAAAGUGGCGGGGCCAUGAGAAGGGGGGCGGAGAGCCGGCAGCGGCUGGCCAACCGGGAGGAUGUUUGAGGCGUCUUGCAGAGUGAUUGGCUAGGACGCACAAUAAACGCAAUAAUACGAUCGAAUGCCCCUCCUUAACCAGCGCCGGCCAAUGGAGACAGAGAACCGGGAUAUAAAAGAGGACGCCUUGCACGGACUCCUUCCGUUUCCUCGUCGCGUGGUUGGUGAAGGAAAUGGCCCCAAAAAGGAGUGAGAUCAGCCAUUGCCAAGAGGAGAAAAUCAGUGAUACCUUUACUAGCCAUGAGAGAGCAGCAUGGCUGACCUGAAGCAGCACUCAAGUGUACUGGAUUAAGAAGGUGGAAGCAACCAUGCCAAAGGCAAGGUUAUUUUGACUAGCUGAGGCCUACAGAAGCUUUCAAAAAGAUCCGAGGAAAGGCAGAACAAAGAAAAAUCACAGAAGCCUUCAGUGGCCUGGAAGGAACCCAUUAAACCAACUGGGAUUAGCCGCUGUCAGUGGAAGGCUUCUGUGCCUCCCACCCUCAGUUUUGAAAGUAGCACAGAAAUCGCAUCCUCAACCUUUGUUCAAUCAAAGAAAAUAAGGUGGUGGGGCAGAUGAACAGAGUUGCCUGGAGAUACUGAGUGAGAAUGGGCAGUUGGCCAAGUACGUACUUCAUUCACCAGUACAGACGGGGCAGAAGAGCAGUGUUCCAUUCCUGAGAUACGCACGAUCACAUUCUGUAUUGUUGUAGAGAAUAUCAGAAUAUAUCUUUUUAUAUUUUUUUCCUUUUAGCUUUGUGUUGUGAGCCUUUUGACUUUUUUAUCUUUUGGCUUUAAAAAGUUCUUAAUUGAAUUUAAUUUUUAAAAAUCCCCCACAGUGGAAAAUACAGCUUGGUGAAGCUGUAUUUGUCCAAAAUCAUAUUCAUGCUUGAAUGAGACAAAGGAAUGUGUAUAUGUGAACAAGAAUAAAAAUAAUGUGAUGGGAUUAUAUAUUAGGGGGAAAUAAUAAGGUUUAAAAAUAGAACCUAAUAUUCUUGUAUCUAGCUGAUACUGAAUUGUUUUUGUUGUAAUUUGUUCCUUUAAUGCAACUUUAUUUAUUUAUAAGAUUUUAAUAAUUUAUUGCAUCUAGUCAAUACCAGAUUGUAUUUACUGUACAAACUACAAUUUUACUCACAUUCAUUAAUUCAUAAGAUUUUAACAAUAAUUUGUUACUUAACUAAUUUGCUUAAUUUCUGUAAUUAUGUAUUUGUAAAAAAGAAAACGUAAGAAAAAAAGAAUGAUUGUUUUUUAUUUUAUGCCCCCCUUUGAGCAGGUUUCUAAGCAAGGGCCACAAUGAAUGUUCUAAAUAAACAACUCGAGUAUCAAACUGGUCAGUGACUUAAUCCUAUGGGAGUGUACAAGGAGGGGGAUACAAUGAAAAGUGCAUUAUGGGUUGAUGGAGAUGUUGACUCGGUUUUACAGCAUGUUUUUAUUGCUAGAUAGAAGCUGCAAAUUGAGGCCACUUGGAUUAAGUCCACAUCCUGGGAAGCAUGAGAAGUCAACUCUGUCGGUGUGUUUA